GACGAACGCUGGCGGCGUGCUUAACACAUGCAAGUCGAACGGAAAGGCCCUGCUUUUGUGGGGUGCUCGAGUGGCGAACGGGUGAGUAACACGUGAGUAACCUGCCCUUGACUUUGGGAUAACUUCAGGAAACUGGGGCUAAUACCGGAUAGGAGCUCCUGCUGCAUGGUGGGGGUUGGAAAGUUUCGGCGGUUGGGGAUGGACUCGCGGCUUAUCAGCUUGUUGGUGGGGUAGUGGCUUACCAAGGCUUUGACGGGUAGCCGGCCUGAGUGGGUGACCGGCCACAUUGGGACUGAGAUACGGCCCAGACUCCUACGUGAGGCAGCAGUGGGGAAUAUUGCACAAUGGGCGGAAGCCUGAUGCAGCAACGCCGCGUGCGGGAUGACGGCCUUCGGGUUGUAAACCGCUUUCGCCUGUGACGAAGCGUGAGUGACGGUAAUGGGUAAAGAAGCACCGGCUAACUACGUG
rnacentral:rRNA from 1 species